UGAAAUCCGCCAUUCUUCUUAAGACUAUCAGCGAAAAUACCACCUAAAAAUGCCUAAGACCUAAAAAUCCUGAACAGAAAAAAAAGGAACGGCAACAUCCCACCCGUCACGAUCUUGUUCUUGAAGAUAACAAUGCUAUCAUCUUUUCUGGCAAAAUGCCUCAAGGUGGGGGAUAAAUUAACUCCCUCCAACCUAGCAACCUAACAAUAGACCCUUUAGCAUAAUUGAAGCCUACUGCCGUCUCCCAACUUCCCCAAAAUAAGACCUUCAAGGUCUAGUUUUCCCCAAUUUCAAACACACAAAAACAAAGGGAGGGAUAGAUCUAAGGAGGGGGGCACAAGAGAACAGGGGUAGGAAAACAAACAAAGCUUAUGAAUUUGAGCUCAUCCUCCAGAUUUACCAUGUUAAUUUAAGAGCUUCUCUUUCUUUUGCCAUUUGGGAAAACCAUAUCCAUUUCAUCUUCAAAACCCGGCAAGCCUUACCUUCUCGCGCAAAUCCUCCGUCAAACACCAGGGAAACGUAGCUCCAAACCAGCUGCAUCAUAGUAUAACCACAGUUAUUUUUCGGCGAGUUUUGGUUUAAUUCAAGUUUUCCGGCGAGUCCCGAGUUCGUCGAAGGUCGUAAUCUGAGGUUUUCGGGUAGAUUUGCGGUUCCGUCGAGGCUGUCGCUGUCUAAGGUUUCCAGUGUUAAGCAUUUUCAGAUUCGAAAAUUGCUUUGUUUUGAGGUCCGUUCCUUUUCUUGGUGCUAUAUAAUUUGUUUGAAAUACUUUUUAUGUUCUAUACUUUUUGCGCGACAUAGAUAAAUCAUUAUUUAGUCAUUUUUUGCGUUAAUGUUUAACAUUUUAGUUGCUGACUCUUAUCUAUUCAUUUAUGAUUAAUUUGCUCGUUUAGUUUGAAACAGUGUUGAUAAAUAUUGAGAUUUUGUUAAGUUGCAUUUUUGUUUGGGUUCUGAUUUUAAACUUUAGAGUAGUUGGUCUAGUAGACAAUUGAUCCAUGGCUUUGCUUCGUUAAUUGGUUAGGAAUGACAAUUUUUUAAAUGUUUGAGCUAUCAAAUUAUUUUCUGCCUAGAUAUAACAUUGUUUGGAAUCAAUAAUAUUGCCCGAUUCUUGAAUACUCGUAUGGGCCAAAUGAAUAUUUUUCGUCAGGCCCAAUUAAAUAAGAUAAAACUAGCUCACAUUUUCAUAACUAAUUUAUUACACUUUUCACAACUACUCCAUAAUCAUGCCUCACAAUAAUUUUAAAUUAGUUUAGAACAUAACUCAUGAACAAUCGUAGAUUGCUUUAGGCGCGAUUAAUAAUAAAUCUCAUAACUACGGGUACGGUUCCAAUGACGUAGUUGUGAUAUAUAAUUCUAUAAUUUGGGAGUACAUUCAUGUGACCCGACCACAAUUUAAUCUUGUUAAGUAGAUAAACACGUUGUGGAACAUGGAUACAGUUUCCGUGAGAUGAUUCGCAAUGUGUAAUCAAAUAAUUAGUUGUAUAGCAGUUGGAUUAUUAAAAGCGGUUUAAAAGGAAUAAAAUGCACAUAGGUUCCAAAAUGUUUUAAAAUCAGAUAAAUAGACCAAUAAUAAUAGCUGAACGACCGUGCUAAAACCACGGAACCCGGGAAUUCCUUACCCGGAUUUCUAUGUUCGCGGACUAUAGAACAGAGUCAAUCUUUUCUCGAUUCGGGAUUCUAAACCGGUGACUUAGGACACCAUAAAUCAUCCCAAGUGGUGACUCUGAAUAAAUAAAUAAAUCAUGUUUCGAUUGUCACUUAAAUUGGAAAAAACUCCCUUAUACCCUUUUGGGGGUAGUAAAAAGGAGGUGUGACAGCUUUGGCGACUCUGCUAGGGAUCGAACCCAGAAUCUCUGGUUUCGCAGGGUUCAAGAAUUUGAGCUUAGGAUAAUUGUUAUAAUUGACUUUGUUUAUUAUAUGGUUUUAUUACAUAUUUGGGCCUAAUGGGUUAAAUGCUGCUUUUUACCGCUUUGAUAGUAUUUGAACUGUAUAUAAACUGCUACAAAACCCUUCUCUUCUCAUCUUCAGGGAUAUGCACGCUGGCGUGACUCUUUUUCUCUUAGUGUCAUACCUUAAAUUAGGAGGAGGCUCGGAAAAGUUACAAAGCCGGAUGGCCUUUUGGUUCCCGGUACGUAUCCCCCCCUCAGCUUAAGUUGUCCGCUCGGGUACACAAGUCUAGAACAACAUACCCAGGUUUUGAACUUAGAAUAACUCAGCCUCAUGCCGGAUCCCUAGUAUGAACGUUUGUUUGCAUCACGUGCAACUGACUUUUGGGACUCAACACAGGGGUUGUGUCCGUCUAGGACAAGUGUACCCAAAAAAUAAAAGACCAUCCUAAUGUGCUACAUGUUGCAAUCUUCAAGGGUAAAAGGGUCAUUUGGCGGAUCAAUAAUCAUUGAGGGAAAAUGAAAAAAUAAAAAGAAAAAAGAGAGGGGGAAGUGUGAAAAUAAAGCAAGUAGGGCCCAGUUAUGUUUUCUGUCACAAUGUUUUGUUAAGAAAAAGACAAAAAAAUGAAAAAUUCAAAAAGAUUUUGCACUUUUUAAUCAUUUUACGAAAAUCAAAAAUCGAAAAAAGAGGAAAAAGAAAAUCCGAAAAGCGUUUACAUGUUUCAUCAUUUUUCAAAACAGAAGAUAAAAAAAUAUAUUUUCUCUAAAUUAGUUGUUUUUUUUAAAUUCUCGCUCGUAUCCAAUCUGCCUGAACUACGCGAACCUGAUUCUCGUCUCUCAGGGUGGGAUACGUAGGCAACCCACAUAGGGUCCCGUAUUCCUAGUGAGUUUAGGUUCUUGGCUUCGUGGGGUCUUAGCCAUAUCUUGCAUUUUUAGUCACAUAGGUUAAUUUUAGAAAAAUAGUCGCAAUCAUGUCUUGCAUGUGUCCAACAGGAAUGGUUAUUGUCUCACAUAGUGUUGGUUUCAGUUUUCUCAUACAAGUGUGGAUGUACUUACCGGAGUUUGAGCAUGAUAGAUACCCCAGGACCACUACAUUCAGGAGUUGCCUGAGGAGCCCUUUUAUGUUUUUGAGCCUAUUAUUCAUGUUUUACUUUCUAGUCAUGUACAGUAGUAUUCAGUCAUUUAGUUGAUACUAGAGUCUGUCAUUGUCUAGUUAAGUUUGUCGAGUCUUUUGUUAUUAUUUCCUAUUUUGUAUUUGGAAAAUGUAUUAUAAAUCAAAAAUUCAAAAAAGGGUAUUCUGCAUUUUUAUAUUUCCGUU
rnacentral:lncRNA from 1 species